AAAUUGAAGAGUUUGAUCAUGGCUCAGAUUGAACGCUGGCGGCAGGCCUAACACAUGCAAGUCGAACGGUAGCACAGAGAGCUUGCUCUCGGGUGACGAGUGGCGGACGGGUGAGUAAUGUCUGGGAAACUGCCUGAUGGAGGGGGAUAACUACUGGAAACGGUGGCUAAUACCGCAUAACGUCGCAAGACCAAAGAGGGGGACCUUCGGGCCUCUUGCCAUCAGAUGUGCCCAGAUGGGAUUAGCUAGUUGGUGAGGUAACGGCUCACCAAGGCGACGAUCCCUAGCUGGUCUGAGAGGAUGACCAGCCACACUGGAACUGAGACACGGUCCAGACUCCUACGGGAGGCAGCAGUGGGGAAUAUUGCACAAUGGGCGCAAGCCUGAUGCAGCCAUGCCGCGUGUAUGAAGAAGGCCUUCGGGUUGUAAAGUACUUUCAGCGGGGAGGAAGGUGUUGUGGUUAAUAACCGCAGCAAUUGACGUUACCCGCAGAAGAAGCACCGGCUAACUCCGUGCCAGCAGCCGCGGUAAUACGGAGGGUGCAAGCGUUAAUCGGAAUUACUGGGCGUAAAGCGCACGCAGGCGGUCUGUCAAGUCGGAUGUGAAAUCCCCGGGCUCAACCUGGGAACUGCAUUCGAAACUGGCAGGCUUGAGUCUUGUAGAGGGGGGUAGAAUUCCAGGUGUAGCGGUGAAAUGCGUAGAGAUCUGGAGGAAUACCGGUGGCGAAGGCGGCCCCCUGGACAAAGACUGACGCUCAGGUGCGAAAGCGUGGGGAGCAAACAGGAUUAGAUACCCUGGUAGUCCACGCCGUAAACGAUGUCUACUUGGAGGUUGUGCCCUUGAGGCGUGGCUUCCGGAGCUAACGCGUUAAGUAGACCGCCUGGGGAGUACGGCCGCAAGGUUAAAACUCAAAUGAAUUGACGGGGGCCCGCACAAGCGGUGGAGCAUGUGGUUUAAUUCGAUGCAACGCGAAGAACCUUACCUGGUCUUGACAUCCACAGAACUUUCCAGAGAUGGAUUGGUGCCUUCGGGAACUGUGAGACAGGUGCUGCAUGGCUGUCGUCAGCUCGUGUUGUGAAAUGUUGGGUUAAGUCCCGCAACGAGCGCAACCCUUAUCCUUUGUUGCCAGCGGUCCGGCCGGGAACUCAAAGGAGACUGCCAGUGAUAAACUGGAGGAAGGUGGGGAUGACGUCAAGUCAUCAUGGCCCUUACGACCAGGGCUACACACGUGCUACAAUGGCGCAUACAAAGAGAAGCGACCUCGCGAGAGCAAGCGGACCUCAUAAAGUGCGUCGUAGUCCGGAUUGGAGUCUGCAACUCGACUCCAUGAAGUCGGAAUCGCUAGUAAUCGUGGAUCAGAAUGCCACGGUGAAUACGUUCCCGGGCCUUGUACACACCGCCCGUCACACCAUGGGAGUGGGUUGCAAAAGAAGUAGGUAGCUUAACCUUCGGGAGGGCGCUUACCACUUUGUGAUUCAUGACUGGGGUGAAGUCGUAACAAGGUAACCGUAGGGGAACCUGCGGUUGGAUCACCUCCUUA
rnacentral:rRNA from 1 species